UACGUAGGGAGCAAGCGUUGUUCGGAUUUACUGGGCGUAAAGGGCGCGUAGGCGGCGCGGUAAGUCACUUGUGAAAUCUCUGAGCUUAACUCAGAACGGCCAAGUGAUACUGCAGUGCUAGAGUGCAGAAAGGGCAAUCGGAAUUCUUGGUGUAGCGGUGAAAUGCGUAGAUAUCAAGAGGAACACCUAUUGCGAAGGCAGCUCGCUGGGACGUAACUGACGCUGAGACGCGAAAGCGUGGGGAGCAAACAGG
rnacentral:rRNA from 1 species